CCCUUAGAUGUCCUGGGCCGCACGCGUGCUACACUGACGCCUACAGCGAGUACUUCCCAGCCCCGAGAGGUGGCUGGUAAUCAGCAAUAGGCGUCGUGAUGGGGAUAGAUCUUUGGAAUUAUGGAUCUUGAACGAGGAAUGCCUAGUAAGCGCAGGUCAUUAGCCUGCGCUGAUUAAGUCCCUGCCCUUUGUACACACCGCCCGUCGCUCCUACCGAUUUCGAGUGGUCCGGUGAAUCUUUCGGACUGCGCGCGGCCUCGUGCCGUGUCGCGGAAAGUCAGGUAAACCUUAUCACUUAGAGGAAGGAGAANUCGUANCA
rnacentral:rRNA from 1 species